UGGGGAAUCUUGCGCAAUGGGCGAAAGCCUGACGCAGCCAUGCCGCGUGAAUGAUGAAGGUCUUAGGAUUGUAAAGUUCUUUCGCUCGUGACGAUGAUGACGGUAACGAGAGAAGAAGCCCCGGCUAACUUCGUGCCAGCAGCCGCGGUAAUACGAAGGGGGCUAGCGUUGUUCGGAAUUACUGGGCGUAAAGCGCGCGUAGGCGGCUUUGCAAGCCAGAGGUGAAAUGCCUGAGCUCAACUUAGGAAUUGCCUUUGGGACUGCGAGGCUUCGAGGACUGGAGAGGUGAGUGGAAUUCCCAGUGUAGAGGUGAAAUUCGUAGAUAUUGGGAAGAACACCAGUGGCGAAGGCGGCUCACUGGCCAGUUUCUGACGCUAAAGUGCGAAAGCGUGGGGAUCAAACAGGAUUAGAUACCCCCGUAGUCCCUGAGCGGGCUGGCAAGGCGCAU
rnacentral:rRNA from 1 species